rnacentral:lncRNA from 10 species
GGAAGUUAGCCAGGUGAAGGGGAGUGGGGCAGGUGUACCAAGCACAGGGAACCUUAGCUGUGAAGGUGAGAGAUAUUAGUGGAUGAGAGUAUCUGAAAGAAUCUAGUGUAUCUGGCAUGCAAGGGGGACGUAGUGAGAGGUGAGAUCAGAGAGAAUGACAGAAGCCAGGUUUGGGGGACCUCAUAGGUCAGGGUGAUGAGUUUAUCUGGAGGCACUAGGAAGCACUGGAGCCCGAGAGUGAAGUCAGGGUUAUGGAUUAGGAUGACCACUUAAGCUAUAGUAUGGGUAAAAGAUUUGGAGGACGUAAUAGGAGGUAGGAAGGCCAAUUAGGACACCUUUGAGCUGUUCAGAUGAGAUGACUGGGAGCAGUUGCAUUGGGGCUGGAGUUUGAGUUGUACACCUUUACCCUUGACUAGGGAAUCUGCUUUGCCAGGGACUAGUCCCCACCAGUGAGAGAUGGAAAAGAGGCAACAUAGUGGUACAUGUAAUUAAGAGUUUAGGCUCUGCAAUCAGAGAGAACUAGGUUUGAAUGCCAUUUCUGCCUUUCUCUGGCUGUGUGACCUUGGGCAAGUCAUAUACUCUCUGAAUCUCAAUUUCCUCUUUUGCAAAACAGGGAUAAUAACCCCUCAUAAAUAACUGAAUUAUACAAAGCACUUAGCAGUGUCCAGCCUGCCCUCCUUAAGUGUCUGAUACAUGUUUUAUGAUUUUGUUAUUGAGCUACCUGGGAAUGCUCUAGAAACUCC